rnacentral:rRNA from 3 species
CCUACGGGAGGCAGCAGUAGGGAAUCUUCGGCAAUGGGGGCAACCCUGACCGAGCAACGCCGCGUGAGUGAAGAAGGUUUUCGGAUCGUAAAGCUCUGUUGUAAGAGAAGAACGUGUGUGAGAGUGGAAAGUUCACACAGUGACGGUAACUUACCAGAAAGGGACGGCUAACUACGUGCCAGCAGCCGCGGUAAUA